GAUGAACGCUGGCGGCGUGCCUAAUACAUGCAAGUCGAGCGAACGGACGAGAAGCUUGCUUCUCUGAUGUUAGCGGCGGACGGGUGAGUAACACGUGGAUAACCUACCUAUAAGACUGGGAUAACUUCGGGAAACCGGAGCUAAUACCGGAUGAUAUUUUGAACCGCAUGGUUCAACAGUGAAAGACGGUCUUGCUGUCACUUAUAGAUGGAUCCGCGCUGCAUUAGCUAGUUGGUAAGGUAACGGCUUACCAAGGCAACGAUGCAUAGCCGACCUGAGAGGGUGAUCGGCCACACAGGAACUGAGACACGGUCCAGACUCCUACGGGAGGCAGCAGUAGGGAAUCGUCCGCAAAGGGCGAAAGCAUGACGGAGCAACGCCGCGUGAGUGAUGAAGGUCUUCGGAUCGUAAAACUCUGUUAUUAGGGAAGAACAUAUGUGUAAGUAACUGUGCACAUCUUGACGGUACCUAAUCAGAAAGCCACGGCUAACUACGUG
rnacentral:rRNA from 1 species